rnacentral:rRNA from 1 species
UUUAUGGAGAGUUUGAUCCUGGCUCAGGAUGAACGCUGGCGGCGUGCCUAAUACAUGCAAGUCGAGCGAACGGACGAGAAGCUUGCUUCUCUGAUGUUAGCGGCGGACGGGUGAGUAACACGUGGAUAACCUACCUAUAAGACUGGGAUAACUUCGGGAAACCGUAGCUAAUACCGGAUAAUAUUUUGAACCGCAUGGUUCAAAAGUGAAAGACGGUCUUGCUGUCACUUAUAGAUGGAUCCGCGCUGCAUUAGCUAGUUGGUAAGGUAACGGCUUACCAAGGCAACGAUGCAUAGCCGACCUGAGAGGGUGAUCGGCCACACUGGAACUGAGACACGGUCCAGACUCCUACGGGAGGCAGCAGUAGGGAAUCUUCCGCAAUGGGCGAAAGCCUGACGGAGCAACGCCGCGUGAGUGAUGAAGGUCUUCGGAUCGUAAAACUCUGUUAUUAGGGAAGAACAUAUGUGUAAGUAACUGUGCACAUCUUGACGGUACCUAAUCAGAAAGCCACGGCUAACUACGUGCCAGCAGCCGCGGUAAUACGUAGGUGGCAAGCGUUAUCCGGAAUUAUUGGGCGUAAAGCGCGCGUAGGCGGUUUUUUAAGUCUGAUGUGAAAGCCCACGGCUCAACCGUGGAGGGUCAUUGGAAACUGGAAAACUUGAGUGCAGAAGAGGAAAGUGGAAUUCCAUGUGUAGCGGUGAAAUGCGCAGAGAUAUGGAGGAACACCAGUGGCGAAGGCGACUUUCUGGUCUGUAACUGACGCUGAUGUGCGAAAGCGUGGGGAUCAAACAGGAUUAGAUACCCUGGU